rnacentral:rRNA from 1 species
UGCCAGCAGCCGCGGUAAGACAGAGGGUGCAAACGUUGCUCGGAAUUACUGGGCGUAAAGCGCGCGUAGGCGGACACGUGUGUCGGAUGUGAAAUUCUUGGGCUCAACCUAGGAACUGCAUACGAAACUGCGUGUCUUGAGUGUUGGAGAGGGAAGUGGAAUUCCAGGUGUAGAGGUGAAAUUCGUAGAUAUCUGGAGGAACACCUGUGGCGAAGGCGGCUUCCUGGACAAUUACUGACGCUGAGGCGCGAAAGCGUGGGGAGCAAACAGGAUUAGAUA